UUAAAUUGUCUGAAUAAGGAGUUAAAGGAACAUGUCUCCAACUAACUCCAUAAAACUGAACUGAAGAAUAAAUAAAUAAAUUAAAUCAUAUUGUCCUAGAAUCCAUGAGGACUCAGUGUGUCUCUGCGACUGGAAUGCUACUGCUACUGCUGGGCUGGAGCUCGUGUCUCGGAACCUAUGGUGUAACAUGAAAAGAAAGCACCAUAGCGCAAAUGCGUCAGUACAAUUGGAGUACUGAGUAUACGAAGAAGGUAGGCUGAACAUAAAGGGUUUCAUCCAUGAACAACACUGACUGACAAUAUGAACUGGGAGUGCAAACACACAUAUAUAGAAAUUAGACCGUGAAUACGUGAUAGCAUGACCUGUAAGCUAAUACAUGGUUUACUGAUAACUAUCAUGAGUGAUACUAAAACUGAUAACAUGGACGAUUGUAUCUGACAGUCCUGUAUAUACUGAAAUAUGAAGAACGCCCUGAGUUCUUUCACUGAGACUGAUAUUGAAACAGAUAACAUGAACAAAUGUACUUGACAGUCCUGUAUAUACUGAAAUUUGAAGAACGCCCUAAGUUAUUUUACUAAGAUUGAUACUGAAACUGUGGGAAGUAGUGUUUAACCAACAUGCCCCAUGUAUGCCAUUAUGGCUAAGCUAGGGUCGAAUCUCUACUCCAACUGGAGGGGUGUCAAUACCGUGCCACGGGUAAGGACAGUCUGUGAGUGACCCUUAUCUGGAGGUACUCAAUGAGAACGAUGGGAACCCUAAACUGACAGGUUAAGCCACCUCAUCAACCCUAAUCUGGCAGGUUAAGAUGUCUCAACCUACGCUAGCUACGUAGUUCUGAAACACAAGGAUUGCUACUAAGAAUCACACCCUGAACUGGCAGGUGAGUUCCUAUCCUUGGGUUCACUCGGUGCUAACCUAUACUCCCAUCUAGAGGGACUGGACAUGAAUAACUGACUGUGCAUGACUUAAUAUUACUGAAUUUCGUUGACUGGCAGAAUGUUACUGAUAUUUGACAACUGACUAAGAUCAUGAGGGUUUCCUGAGUCACAUGACUGACUGAAGUCUAUGGAAUCAUAGCUUGAGUUUGGAUAUCAUGAAACAUGACAUAGAUCUAGGCACACAGCUAUAGUUUUCAGGUACUAGUACCUCCAGGACUCGAUAGAAGGAAACUGACACACAUGACUGACUUGACAUAAGAGUAGAGUCCAUAAUUUAUAAUACCAUAAGUAGGGAUCUCAUACUAUGCAUGGUUAUCAAUAAUGUAUUGCAUGAAAAGGAUUUCAUAUCACAUGGAAGCACUUGCACAAUCUUAAUAUCAUGUUCAUUGCAUAAUCAUAUUGGCAACACAUACCAAUAGCAUGGAAGUUCAUGUGGAUUGCAUAGUUAUCAUACAUCUUGUUCAUAAGUAGGAUUUGCAAGUAAACAUAGCAUAAUUUCAUAAGAAUAGUUCAUGAGUAUUCCAANNNNNNNNNNNNNNNNNNNNNNNNNNNNNNNNNNNNNNNNNNNNNNNNNNNNNNNNNNNNNNNNNNNNNNNNNNNNNNNNNNNNNNNNNNNNNNNNNNNNNNNNNNNNNNNNNNNNNNNNNNNNNNNNNNNNNNNNNNNNNNNNNNNNNNNNNNNNNNNNNNNNNNNNNNNNNNNNNNNNNNNNNNNNNNNNNNNNNNNNNNNNNNNNNNNNNNNNNNNNNNNNNNNNNNNNNNNNNNNNNNNNNNNNNNNNNNNNNNNNNNNNNNNNNNNNNNNNNNNNNNNNNNNNNNNNNNNNNNNNNNNNNNNNNNNNNNNNNNNNNNNNNNNNNNNNNNNNNNNNNNNNNNNNNAAAAAGAGGAAAAACAAUCAAGCAUCAACAUGGGUAUGAUCAUAUCACCACAAUCAACCAAGCUUUUGUAUUUUAAAGAUUGAUUCUUGAACUCCACGGAUGAAAGAAAUCUGUGGAUGAACACUACGCAUACCUUAGAAGGAAGAUUCUUGAUGAUAUACGGAGGAAUUUCCUUGAAAUCGGAUCUUCAAGCUUAAUUAUGCAACCCUAGUUAUUUUUCUCCUUUAGUUCUCUUGGAUGAUGAGCUUUGAGAUGAAAAUAGGGUUGCAGUAUGUUUAGAAGUUAUAUAUUUUGUAGGGUUAAGUUUAGGGACGUGUAAGGAGUAUUUAAAGACUUAAUUACCUUUAAAAUAACUCAAAGCGGAGUGUUUUUGACACCUGGAAUUGACUUAGGCAGCGCCUAAGUGAUCGCCUAGGAUUGGGUUGGGCGGCGCCUAACCAAUCGCCCAAUCGCCUAUGCUUACUGUAUCUCACAAAAAUAGGCAUAACUUUUCGCUCGGGUAUUGGAUUAAGGUGAAAUUGGUAUUGUUGGAAAGCUAAUUUGAUUCUCUACAAUUUGGUGGGUCUAAAUCAGACAAAAUACCACAUUAACAUCGAGUUAUACUCGUUCUAAGAUGACCCUUUCAAAAUCGAACACUAAAACUUGAUGGAUUCAAAAACUCUUAGCUUGUAUUACUUUAAGUGACUCAUAUGAACUUGCUUAAUGCAUCAUAAGCUAUCCCAUCACUAGGAUAUUCAUUGUAAGUCAUGUACUCAAGUAUGAAUCACAUAAUAGGAGAUUUCAUAUGUAGGAAUACUUAUUCACUUCCUAGCUUAGAAACAUGCGAAGUAUUACAGUUACACUUUUUCAAAAAGAAAAAUCAAAAUCGAAUUACACAAAAUCAAAUUAGAAAACCAAAUGCACAACCUAAUUACUCUCUCUUCACUCUUACUUGUACACUAUUAUAAAAAUAGAUUUUUGCUUCUACUUUUCACUUUUAACUAUGAAGGAAAAGAUAAUUAUUUUAUGAAUAUUAAGCUAUCUAAAUCCAAAUCUAAAUACUCAAAUUACAAACACUAAAAAUAGGAGAAAAUAUCGGAUAUUUAGCAUUACAAAUAUCAGGAUUCUUCUCAAUAUCAAGACGAUUCUUCUCCGUCUUUACAAAUAUCCAAUAUUUGAUAUUUGUAUUUGAUAACAAAUAUCGAUAUUACUAGUUUAUGAGAUUCUUCUUGUUAUUAUAAAUACGAUUCAAGAUUGUAUUUGGCAUUAUAAGAAUAUCUAGCUUAAAAUCUAAUCAUAAAUUAUAACUUCAUUUUAAAAAUUUUAAGAAAAUUAAGACAAAAUUAAAGCUUUAAAGUUGAUUUCGUUGAAAAUUAGAACAUAAAUGAAAACAUCUUACCGAAUGUUUUAAAGAGAAGAGAAAAAGGAAUUUUAAAUAAUUGACAAAUUUAACUACACGUGUUUUUUUAAUUGAUGAUUACAAUAAAGUUUAUAUAGUCAAAUGUCUCAAAUGUGUGACAUCCAUGUUAUCAACUUCCGUGGCUUUUAUGAUUUGUAUGUAUGAAAAAUGGGGAAAAGUCAUCAUUUUCACUUUAAACUAUACUCAAAAAGUCGAAGACAUACCUAAACAACAGAUGAAAUAUAAUACACAAACACGGACAGUCAUAAUCUAUUAACUAGGCAGAGCAAAAAAGUGUCAGAUAGUGUGAUAAAGAUUAUCUUAAAACCCAUUAACAUAAGGGACAAGAACCCCUUUCUAAAUACAAGUUCAUAAUUCACCGUUUUGCCAAUAAGUAUGUUAGGGUAUUAUGCAUAUUAUGAAAUAACUUGUCAUAGGAUUUUUCAACAUUUUUGACAAAGGCGAAGUAGGAGGUUCGAACAGAGACAGCCAGAUCAUCAUUCGAGGAAGAGACUUGGGAUUUAAAAGAGUCCAUGUGAGAGAGCACUUGAGAGAACAACUUAACUCCUAAUUUGAGCCCAUCGAGUGCCGACUGGACCACACUUAUGUCAGAGCUUGUACUUUUCCCAGGGUUAGGAGUUUAGUAAUCGACUCCUAAAUUUGCAUGAAACCUUCCUCAAUGGCUUUAAACUAUUCCUUGAGUUCUUAGAGUUCCUUCAACAAAAAGGUAGAGGGGUUAGAAACAGAUUUACUUACCUUCGGAGGUUCAGCCUUCGGACAGAAAGAUUCCUUCUUACACCAUUCAUCUUCCACUAGGACAUAUCCCAUGCUACUAAAUGUUCUUAAAUCAUAAGUUGCAGCAACUUCUAUAGAAGGAUAAGCAGAGAGAUCGAUGGAGAAGAAUAGGAUUCGAGUGAUGAGCAUCCCUUAUGGCAAACUGGCAGAGGCAUGGACUAACCUUGCACUCUCAAGAAUGUGCUCUUGUAUCCAAGUUGCCCAAUUGAUUUUGAUCUUUUUGACUAGACAGUACAACAUAAAGACGUCACGAUAAGUGUGUUGCUUAGGGAUCCUUUUCACAAAAUUAGAGUGGUGGCAAUAAUAUGGGCCAUUAUGCAAAAUUUAAAACAUAAAGACAAGGGAUCAAAGUUGGUUGACAUGGAUUUAGGGUCAUACAAAAAUUUCAUAGCUUCCUCAAAAUCCACUUUAAAGUCCUCAGGCCAGUUAUUGUUCAUAAAAGGGACCACACCGAAAAACUUAGUAUCAAAAAUAUUUCAAACAGGAAGUUGUUCAUGAUAAUUCUUAUGCCUAGCACAAGAGUCUUGAAUUCACCACUGUCUGGGGAAAUUCAAAGAUUAGCAUAAAAUAUACUGACAGGAUCUUCAUAAACUUGAAGUUCACAGAGGCGAAAAAGCAAGGAUAGAUCUUGAAAUUUUAAAAAGUGACUAACAUUGCAAGAGGUAUCUUUUAAUAGAAUGAUAUUGACGAUAUGACUGGGUACGAUGGAACAAUUUAUGAAGGAGUGGAAUUUUUCUUUGUGAGAGUUUGUCAGAAUUGGUGCAUCUCUUCUUGGGGGAGGGAGUUAGAAGAAUUUGGAUGACAUUUUUUAUGGAGGAGAUAUGGCUGGAAGAAGGUCAUCAUCUCUUGAGAAGAGUGGAUUGAGACAAGGAUUCGUCGAAUGACUUAGAGAGAAAAUAAGAUCAUCGUAAGAGAUUUUAGAUAUGUUAUCCAUGGAUCGAGUCUUUGUCAUAAGAAUGAGAGAAAAUGAGAUUUAAAGGAUGAGACGGAGAAAAGAAAAGCUGAUUAAGAGAACUUAGAAGCAAAAGGGUAAUAUGAGACUCUUCGGAAGGGAUAGAGAGAAGGAAGGUGAAGGGGCAUAAAGUGGAAGAAGACUGAUGAAGGUAAAAAUGCAUGGGGAAGAGAAAAGGAUGGCAGAGGAGGCAUGGAAAACGGUAAAGUUAAUAAUGACUUCCCUUUUGAAAAGACUCCUUUUUGGUAAAAUAGGUACAUGUGGACUAAUUAAAAAGAUUUGUGUCCAAAAAUAUACUCAUAAAUAAUUAAUGCCAAAUUUUUUUCUGGGAAAACUAGAUCUUUCUUUUAGCAACGAUUUAAAAAAAAAAGAUUUUUGGAGUCAAAAAAUUUCACUUUCUCCGUGAUUAUGAAUAAAAUAAUGUUUAAUGCAGAUAUGUUUUGCCCUAGAUGCACAGAACAUUAGAUAAAAUAACAGUACCAGUAUUGUCACACAUUCUGGGAAUAGACUCAAAAGAAAAAAUAAAAUUAAGUAGUUGACGCAUAAUUCAUAGAAUUUAAGUACAGCAAUUCCCAAAGGCUGUGUAUACUACUCCAGUUGUUGGCGAACAAACUAAAGUUUGCUCCUUGCUGAGUUAUGAACUUGAGGCAUCACUCGUGUGAUAAAAACUUUUAUUAGAAUAGCAAAAUUCUCACAUGAAGAUGUUAGAAUAAUCAGGAAUCAUAUUAAAACAUGUACAGUAAGAAGUCUAAAAAAAAUUAUUUUUGAGGACUUAGAAUUGUAUCAAAAUUACCCACUUUGUUGAAAAAAAAUAGGAAAGUACUAAACUUCUCAUGCCAAGCCUUUCGAGCUCGCUUGAGACUAUGGAGUGCUUUAACAGUUUUAAAAAUAUUUAAGGGCAACAACUGAUAAUGAUAAUUCAUAUUGAUUUUGACCUUAUCACAAGGAUAAAUAUUUUAUUGAAGUCGGUACCUUCUUGGAGGGAAUAGCCUUAAGCUAUAUAUAUGUCUUCAUUUCAAUCUCAUUAUUUCAGAUGUGGAAGUCGACUUAGAAGGGGGUAUAGUCGACUCGUCUUAUGAAGGCUCGGAGAUUAUGUGAGCAUCAUCUCUGGAUUGUAAAUCACUCACCUGUUAUUCAUCACCGCAUUGUUAUGGGUUAAACAUCUGUUGGUGGUAUGACAUGUUAUAUGUUAUCUUUUUUUAUUUUUGCCAUUCACCAAAGAGAUAGAUAUUAAUACUAUCAUGUUUGAUGAACCAUUUUUUUGUUUGAGGGAGAUUUCAAACCAGUCAUCACAUGGUGAGUCAACUCUGGUGACAUUGCCUCUAGUGUUAUCACUUUAUUUGAUUUAUCCUUUACCUACAUUCUUCAAAGAAGAGAAUAUUUCUUUCUUUUCGGUCAUGUAUUUUGAUCAUCUUCCAUUAGGAGCCCGUAUUUUCUUUUUAUGGUUUUCGCAGACAUGUUCUUGCAAAAUGAGAAGAUUAAUUCUGCUAAGGUACCCAAGUGGUCUUGGCUCCUUGUGGAUUAGAUGUGCUUCCUUUGGGCUUCUAAACCCAAACACAUUUAGGCUUAUGCCUAUAAUUGUAGGAUUUGUUCUCUCUCUAUCCAUAGAUAAAACAGAUGUGUCCUCAAGAGGAGAAAGAGGUCUUAGCUGAUUUAAACAAUCUUGAUGAGAAACUGGAGUAGUUUUUGAAGGAAUUUGAUCUCAUGAAACUGUUGUUUGGGGAUGUCUUAAAACUGUUUAGCUUUAUUUUUGCAUCAUCAAGCUUUUCAUGAAGUAGGUCAAUUUCAAUUUGACAUGCUUCAAUUUCUAUUUACUAAUUUCAUCGUACCUCUUUGAGUUUUUGUUUAAAUCGUGCUUUACAACUUUUUUCCUCUUGAGAUAGUUUAUUAUAUUUAUCUAUAACUUUUUGAAGCUCGUCGGUUAUCAUAUCCAAGUUGGAUUCAAGAAUAUUAUAGUUAUGACAGUUGUGUUGUCUUACCUUGCUAGAUUCACUUGUUUCCAUGAAGCAUAUAUCGGCAGAUUCUAUUUCAUCUUUGGUUUCAUCCUCAUCACUCCAAGCUCUAAAGUUUUGAUUCUUCCUGGAUGUUUUUCUUCUUAAUUUUGGACAGUUUUAUUUGAAGUGGCCAGACCUUCCACAGUGAUAGCAGCGAUCAUCGUUUCUAGUAGAGUCAUUAUUUUUAGCUCUUUGGGAUCUUUGUUAUCUUUAUAUCAUGAUCAGCCUUACUCCAUGAUUAAUAAGGGCCAUUCCUUCGCUAUUAGCAUAUUCAAAAAUAUUCACUUCUUUGGUUGGAGCAGCAAUAAAGGCUACUGAUUUCUUUUUUUCCUCCUUGUGGUACCUAUUAAUAUAUGUUUUUCAUAUGCAAUAAGGUUACCUCAUAGUUCAUUAUAUGUCAUGUUGUAAAGAUGUCCAUCUUCCAGAAUGGCAGCCUUGGUUUCCCAAAUCUUUGGAAGACUUCGGACCAGCUUCUGUACUUGCAGGCUAUGUGGAUAGAUCAUCCCAGUGAUUUCAGUUCAUAUACGAUCUUUCUAAAUCUGUCAAACAUUGUUUUAAUGUUUUCAUUUUCUUCAAUUUUGAACUGCUCGUAUUCAUUGACCAGGGCAAUAAUUUUUGAAUUCUUGACUUUUGUGGUUCCUUCAUAGCUUACCUCCAAUUUGCCCCAUAUUUGUAGUCUUCCAGGUUGAUAUGCUAUCGUAUUCUUCUCCACUAAUUGCACAAAGAAGCAAACUUGUAGCUCGUGCAUUAGUUUCAAUUACCUCUUGUUGUUCUUUGGUGACCUCAAAGCUUUUGGGAUCUUCUAUGUCAGAACUGCUAGAUUUUUUAUCUUUGUCCUUGGACUUCUCUUUAAGUCCUAGAAUAGACUUUGGACCCCUUCUUGAUAACAACCCAUGCUUGGAAAUCAUUUGAUUAGACAAAGAUUUUGAACCUAUUUUUCCAAUAUGAGUAAUGUUGUCCAUUAAAGUAUGGUGGUCUUGUGAAGAAAUGACCAUCUUGAAGAAGAGCACCUGGGAUUUGAUAACUUGUCAUUUGAUCUUUGCUCACUUAUGGUUAAACAAUGUUAUUGAUGAGACCUUCUCUGAUACCAACUGAAAUUCAAGAGGGAGUGAAUUAAAAUUUUUCUAUGAGUCGACUACUGACUUCUCACAGUCGACUCACCUACAGAUUAGUACACUUCGCAAAAAUAGAUUAGAUUUAAAACAAUUAAGCAAAUUAAAAACAGAACUUAUAGUAAUAAGACAGAGAUUUAUCUUGGUUCGGAACACUAAUGUGCUGCCUACUUUCAGUCCCCUUGUGUUUCAAAGUUUUCUUAGAUCGUUCAAUAUCGGGCUCGAGUACAAUGAUAGGAAACAAGUUUUAAAGACUUAUUUUGCUCUUCAGAUCUUUUGACAUAGUCUUUAUAUAACAACUGUAAAAUAAAAGUUAUAAAGCCUUGUGAGACUAAGAUUGAGACACUUUGAAUUUUCUCCUUGAAGUUGUGUAACACGUGUCUGUCUUCAGUCGUCAUCUUGUAUAGUCUUCGAAUGUUAUUCUUCAUAAGAAAACCCAAGAGAUUUCUUCUCAAUCAAGGAUUUAAAUUGAUUCCUUGAUUUAGGAAUGUAGUCAUUUGAUAUGUCCAUAUAAAGCUUUGGAUCACGUCCAUAUCAGAUAUAUCUAUAAUCUAAUUUCUUUUUUGGCCUUGUAUAGAUUGAUGCUUUUCCAGAUGUGUUUGUGAUCUUUUCUUCCUUUUCUUUAGUAGUUAUUGAUCUAAUUUGUUGAGACUUUUGGGACAUAGAUUCUCCGUGAUUGAGUUGAUUUAUCUAGACUUUUGGGACUGAGAUUCUCCUUCUGUUUGUCCUCAUUCUGAUCUAUUUUCUUUGAUGUCGCUUAUUGUAAGUUGAUGUCCCUCCAUUCCUGGAGCCGACUUUCUUUAUUAGUAAUCUUUAAUGUCCUGCAUUGAUCCACUUGUUAGUUUGUCAUUAUUAAAAUAUAGACUUCAGAGGCUAACAAUAGGGUGAGCUCUUGGAGUCAGAGUUGCCCUUUCUCCUUUUAUUUAUCAAUGUCUAGUCUUUUCUUUCAAGACAGAUUAUAUUGACUAUUCUAGAACUUAUGGUGUAUUGUAAUAGCUCUUCUACUAACUAUACCAUGUCAUGGGAUGGUUUUCUAUGUUAUGGCUACCUUUCGGAAUAAUUUUAUUUCCUUAUUUAUUUAUGAUUUGUAUUGUCUAAUUGGCCCUUCUUAAGGUAUUUUCCACCAAGUAAGCACAUUGCAAUCAAUUCUGAGCUACACUUUGGCUUACUUACUGGGGGACUUUGUAGGUACCAUCAUGACUCAUAAAUCGAGUCAUGACAGGUUCUAUAUUUAAUCAAAUACUGCAUUAUACUUUGUUUAAAUAUGUUAUUUUGGAGAUGUCAUAAGGCUAAGAAAACAGAUGGAAAAUAGUGUAGCGUUCAAGAAAGGUUGAGUCACUGAUGUGUCAUGGACUUAUGGCACUUUCGAAGCUUAAAAUUAUAGAAAUUUGUAAGUGCAAAUAUAUUUAUGUAGAUGUGAUGUGGUUUUGUGAUAUUCAUACGUCAAAUAGGUCCAGAGAAGUAAAGUGCAUCUUUUUACACUUAAGGACAUUAGACGAGUCAUCCUAUGAUUAUAGGAUCUGACCACAAUCAAACCAUGGUUGUAAUGGGUUGAACCAUAGAGAUGGUAUUCAGGUGUUAUUCAAAUGAAAUCAUACCAUAAUCGUAUGUAGAUGCUAUGAUCAUAAGAGUGAUCAUAGGAAGAAGUUUCAGAAAACUUACUUUCAGAUGUUAAGUAUGAGGAGAAUCAAAUGAAAGGAUUCCACUAUCGUACCAUGAUACUAUGAGUUUGUACUGAAUAUCGUGGAAGAAGUGUUUUGAAAAGUGGGAAAUCAAAUAUGGAAGCCACAAGAUGGUUCCACAAUCAUACAAAAAAAAUUAGCUCAUACUAAGUAUCAUACCAAACAAAACCUGAAAGAGGAAAAAGUCAAGUGUCAAUGUAGAAGCACAAAGGAUGAUCAUGGUAUCUAAUCAAUAUCUACCUUCCUUCAUCUAAUGUGCCAACUCAGUAAAUCCAAUUGUGUUUAGGAUAGGUUUUAUGUUUGUCUAUAAGUACUCCUUUUCGGUCUUUUGUUUCAAUUUACAUUCUAUUGAUACUUUUGAGACAUACUGUUGUUCUUUGAAGUAUAAAUAUCAAUUUUGAGGGUUUUAAUUUAUAAGUAAGAUUUGUGUUUUUCAUCUUAUUCUUGUAAGUCCAUAAUUAUGUUUCUUCUCAGAAUUAUUGUUGUGUACUUGCAAUUAUGAGUAGCUAAACACCCCGACUAGGUUUGUGGGAACUAUGAUGAAUUAACAAAGUAGUGUUUGAUUUAUGAAAUUAUUCUAAAAGGGUGUUUGGGCAUGUAUUGUUAUUCUCUUUUGUUUGAUUGCUUUCUUAUAGUCGUAGACAUCAAACCACGCCUUAUCUUUACUCUAGAUGAAAGGAUGAGUAACGGAUGGUAAUAGCGAAUUAGUAAUGAAACUUGGAUAUAUCAACCUCUAUUAAUUAGACUUGAGUUGGUAAAUAGGAUAUACUAAUAUGGGAUCAAUGAUAGGGGUUAGUAAUACAAAACCUAUGAUAUUUUUUUUGAUUGGGGAUAGUCAUCUAAUAGGGGCAUGAAAUCAUUUAGAUAAACAUAGCCUAUCGAUUUGGAAUUUCGAGCACUAUGAGAGAUCACUAAGUAUGAAGAACAUAUAGAGUUACGAUGUUAUUAGGAAACAAAGUCCUAGUAUCUCUCUUAUAUUAAAACAAAUCCAAUGAAAUCAACAGUUGCUACUGUAGGAAUUUUGAUCUACAAAACCCUCUUUUUACUAGAGAUUAUUUAUUGAUCGCUUAGAUAAACACUUAAUAGAGAUUUCAACCUAUUCCUCAUGGAAUCGACCACAACUUAGUUGCAUUUAUAUUUUGCCAAUGAUCAUUUUAUACUUUGUUUAGAGGUAUAAUUUGGGUGACAUUAAAUUUUGGCACCUUUGUUGGGAAUACGAUAACGGAGUUGAUUGAUUAUGUUUUUUAGGUUGUUGGUUUCUGAAUAUUGACUUUAAUUUUUUUAUUUCUAGGGCGCAUACCAGUGCACUUCCAUUACUUGAGCCAAGGCAAUCCCUUGAUUCCACUUGAUAUAGAAAUUAAAAAAAAUAUGAGAGUUAAAAGAAGGAUGGUGAAUGAUGGAGUUCAUAAAACAGGAGUUUUAGAUGAGGAGGUCUUGAAUCUUCCAGGACAUCUUCAUAGGAUUUAAGAGAUUAUAGAGCAGACCACUACUCAAUUGAUAACUAAGGAUAAUGAUAGGCAAGAAGUUUUCAGGCAGGAUGCAAGGGAAAAAGGGGUAGACAUGUUAAAACAGACCAUCAACUUGCACUUAAGGAAUGAGAAAGGUAGAGAAAAAAUAGAGGGAAACAACAUCUAGAGCAUUAUAUUCCUCAACUUGAUGAUGUAGAAGACAAGAUAGACUUUCUAGAGCUGAUUGAAAUAAGUGUGAUUAUUCCAUCAGCAUUGCUAUCAUGAACUAUAUUUGAUAUCACCGGUGCUAUGAUAUAGUUGCUAAACUUAAAGAGGGUGUUCACAGGACUUUCUACCGCUAAUGCAAACCUUUAUGUGAUAAAUUUAUAGGGAUUCGCAAAUUCUAUAAUUUACUUGGGGUUAGACAAGAGGUGAUUAGACUUCAGUUGUUACCUUUUUCGAUGAAGGAAAAGCUAAAUUAUGGUUGACAAAGUUGCCACAUGGAUCGAUCACUACUUGGAAUAAGUUGAGGACUAAGUUCUUAGAGAUAUUUUUCCCACCUUCAAGAAUGUUGCAGUUGAAAGAUAAGAUUAUAACUUCAAGCAGUUACACUUGAAGGUUUUAUAUGAGACAUGCAGACGUUUAAAAAAAAGCUGCAGAAUGUCCCAAAUCAUAGAAUACCAAGCCACAUAUUUCUUGAGAUAUUCUAUAGAGGUAUAAAUACAUAUAAUAAGGAUAUACCAAACGCUAUUACAGAUGGGGCAUUCAUGGGUUACAUUGGAUUAGGCUUAUAAGAUUUUAGACUGGAUCACUAAAACCAAUAGAGGUUGGAAUACUCGUAAUGCAGACAUACCCGUAGUUACUAAUAUUAUAGGGGUAUCUACAAAAUAGAGAGAACUAGAUGACUCUAUCAUCAAAAGAUAGAUCAGUUGAGGAUAGAGCUUAACUUAUUUGCCAAGCAAUUUGCAGCAGUAGGAGCAGAAAGAGUGAUUGUGGUUGGUUCACAAUGUAAGGCAUCGAGGAAUGAUAACUCUAAUUCUGAGGAGGAGGCUAAGUAUUUAGAAAAUAAAAUGGCGGGUUUCUAAGCCAAGGUAUAGGUGUCUAAUUAAGAUAAUUAGAAAUCUGGAAAAAGAAAUCGAGGUCAAAACUACUAUAAUGUUAACAACUAAAUCAGGUCUCUGUGUAGAGAUAGAAGCCGAGAAAGAGAUGGUGAUUGGAGAAGAAAGGACGACUAUAAGGAUAUAAGUGUCCUCUGUGUUCCAUUGGGAAUUGAGACGAUGAUUCAAGCAAUUCGAGGAUGAAAGACAUACUUGCAAAAGUAGUGAAAAUGGUAAAGAAGAUGAAGACUUCUUGAAGGAGCUUAGUGCAGAUACUUUGGGGAUAAGUCAAAAGGUCGAAUCACAUGUUACUGUCCUUAAGCAUCUUAAGCAAUAAUUUGGUCAGAUGUCUAUUGCAUUAAAUCAGCAUUGAUAAUGUGAAGGUUUUAUAUGAGACAUGCAGACGUUUAAAAAAAAGCUGCAGAAUGUCCCAAAUCAUAGAAUACCAAGCCACAUAUUUCUUGAGAUAUUCUAUAGAGGUAUAAAUACAUAUAAUAAGGAUAUACCAAACGCUAUUACAGAUGGGGCAUUCAUGGGUUACAUUGGAUUAGGCUUAUAAGAUUUUAGACUGGAUCACUAAAACCAAUAGAGGUUGGAAUACUCGUAAUGCAGACAUACCCGUAGUUACUAAUAUUAUAGGGGUAUCUACAAAAUAGAGAGAACUAGAUGACUCUAUCAUCAAAAGAUAGAUCAGUUGAGGAUAGAGCUUAACUUAUUUGCCAAGCAAUUUGCAGCAGUAGGAGCAGAAAGAGUGAUUGUGGUUGGUUCACAAUGUAAGGCAUCGAGGAAUGAUAACUCUAAUUCUGAGGAGGAGGCUAAGUAUUUAGAAAAUAAAAUGGCGGGUUUCUAAGCCAAGGUAUAGGUGUCUAAUUAAGAUAAUUAGAAAUCUGGAAAAAGAAAUCGAGGUCAAAACUACUAUAAUGUUAACAACUAAAUCAGGUCUCUGUGUAGAGAUAGAAGCCGAGAAAGAGAUGGUGAUUGGAGAAGAAAGGACGACUAUAAGGAUAUAAGUGUCCUCUGUGUUCCAUUGGGAAUUGAGACGAUGAUUCAAGCAAUUCGAGGAUGAAAGACAUACUUGCAAAAGUAGUGAAAAUGGUAAAGAAGAUGAAGACUUCUUGAAGGAGCUUAGUGCAGAUACUUUGGGGAUAAGUCAAAAGGUCGAAUCACAUGUUACUGUCCUUAAGCAUCUUAAGCAAUAAUUUGGUCAGAUGUCUAUUGCAUUAAAUCAGCAUUGAUAAUGUACAUUUUUGAGAAAUACUAUCGAAAAUCCUAAAAAUGAGGGUCAUUACUUGGAUAUUGCAACUAGGAUUGGUAAAGUGAUAGUUGAUCCAUCUAUGAUUGUGGUUGUUCAGAAUGAGAUCGAGCCAGUGAUUGUAGAUGAUGAGAGACUAGCUGAAUCUUACAGUUUAGUUGUUGAUGAGGAUGCAUUUUAAAAGCCUUUAGUUCCUGAAAAGGAGUCUAAGGCAAAAAGAAAAAAGGAAAAGAGGUCAUAAAAGUAUUGACUCCCAUUCCACGCCUCCUCUUAUUUUUGUAGAAAGACUGAAGAAUAAGUUUUAAGAGGGAAAGUGUCACAAGUUAACUACCAUAUUAAAAUAAUUGUUGAUGAACAUCCCUCUAGUUGAGGCUCUUGAGCAAAUGUUUGGUUAUGCAAAGUUUAUAAAGGAUUUCAUGGCGAAGAAGAGGAAUGUAAGUUUUGAGCUCGUUCAAAAUAUGCAUUAUUGUAGUACAAUCAUUUCCCAGUCUCUAUGGUAUGAAUCCAUGAUCAUAGGGAUGAGUCGUAGGUUUUUUCUAUUUUAAAUUUCACCCAAUACGACCCAACCUAGCUAAAUUCCUAAGUUUUAUUCCUCCGACCCUAUUUUAUCUCUUCUUUUCAAACACACGCAGAUUACUAUACUAGCACGAUUCAUAGUUCAGAAUCAAAGCAACAACUCGAAUUCAUCCUAUUUUUAAUUGAAUUACAGCAAAAAAAAAAGAAAUUAAAGUGGUGCAUACUCUCUCAAACUUAAAAAUUCCAACUCUGAUGCGCUUUCCAAACACUUGUUAUUUCAGACUAAAGUAAGUCUUUCUAAAUUAUUGUGAUUUGAAUAAGCAAAUAGGAAUUAGGGUUACACACACUUGGUUAAAUUUGAAAUUAAGUAUGUAGAGGAGUUGAAGUGCACCAUAGUAAAAAUUGCUUAUUUUUGAACUAGUGUAAAAAGACAAAUGUCGAGAGGUAACAUUGAGUGCCCCUCAUUUUUUCAUUAAGUUCAAAUUGGGUCAAGAUAUUGUGUUUAAAUUGGUUAAGUGUUAGUGAAAACUUCAUGACACAACCUAAAAUUGUCAUUCUUAUGUGCGAUGGUAGGUUGGAUCGUUGUGGGUGUCAGUUUGCAAAGUUGAAGGAAUUCCUAAGAAAACCAUAUACCAUGAUCAUUGUAUCUUGGUACAAUCAUAAAAUAUUGAUAUGACAAACCUCAGCAUAUUUUAACAGGGGCCUCCUAUGAUUGAUAGGACGAUUGUGCUUUCAUAUCAAUGUCGUACCUUAUGUCAUCUGCUUGAAUUACUGAGUACUUGUUUCUGAUGUUUGCUAGGACUAAUCUUUUCACAUAGAGGUACUAUGGAACCAAAGUUGAAUAAAAAAGGUUCGGGGAGGUUAUCCACAAGGAUAUAGAUAAGAAAAGGGCACCAAAAGACAUGUCUUCGACCAUAGAGAGUAAUUUAGAGAAAUCUAGUGGUUCGGAGGUCAGGUACUCCAAAAAUAGUGUUAUUGAACAACAAGAGCCUCGAACCACUAGAUAUAAAUUUUCUAAGGCCAACGCCCAAACAUCUAAAGCAUUGGAGCCUGCAGCUACUCCCAUUGAACUUCCCAGUUUGAAGAGGAAGGCCAAACCUCAAAUCCUAGUAGGGUGAGCUUGUAGCUGUAGAAGGUGAUGUUAAUGUGAGUUUAUCUAAGGCGGAGAAGUCUAUGGAUAGUUCUAGUAGUGCCUUUUCCAAAUCUUCCAAAGGUGUUGCUACUACAAAUCUACCUAAAAAGGGGAAGACCCAAGGCGAUAGAGUGUCCUAAAUCCUGGAAGUAAUAUAUUUAUGGAGAAUCCCUAAACAACAAGGGGAACCAAAAGUGAAGCAUCCAAGAAGGGAUACGCAUGCUACUUGGGGCACUAUAGAGGGAUUUAGAGUUAAAUCGGGAGUUCUAAAAAUAUAUGCUCGGCUGGAUGACUAAGCAGGUGGGAAACUUUAGGGCCUAUUCGGUGAGAGAUUUUUAUGCCAACUAUAUAGUGAGGAUUGAGAGCAUGAAUUUUUAUGAGAAGGAUAAAGAUAUGAAGAAGUAUCCCAUACUUGAUAUGGCGUUAGUGCAAGGGAAUAGAUUGAUAUCUUGUGAAGGCUAAUUCUAAAGCCUUUUUUGGCAAUGAUUUUGAGGUACCAUUUGAGUCUCUGGAGUAUGAUUAUGACACGACCCAAACUAGGGCCUAGUCGUGUCGGGUGCCUCAAGCCCAACCAGGGUUGGAGAGCAUCCCCAAUACCCAACCACAAUCACCCUACACCCAAUGUUUGAUAAUUUUUGAAUGUACAUAUAUAACAUAAAAAAAAUGAAAUAGUCAUAAAUCAAAUACAUUUAAUCGGUCUCUACCCCAAUACCAAUACCAAUACCAAUGCCAAGGCUGACAUCAUUGCCGACAGCGCCCAUACCAACCCAAAGUAGUCCCACAAAGCCUAUAUCUGAAAGUAAAACAAUACUCAGUCGGGAUAUGCCCCCGACUAUAGCCAAAACCAAAGUCUAAGAAAUAACCAAAGUAUGUAGAGAAAUCCAUAACAUGAAAUGGAGCCUUCCGGAGUAUGGAAGCUCACCACUUCAUCCCGACACAAAUUGUCCCCAAAUCCAAUCACUGAGCAGGAGGAGUAGUAUGACCAGUUCCUGCAUCGUGUAGGAAUACAACGCCUGAAGAUUGGUUAGCAGGUGAACGCUAGCAUGUACUCAGGAUAAGGAUAAGAUAAUGUCAAUAUUUAAAACCAAGUAAAUAAUCAUAUACAAUCACAUAAAUGUAUAUAUAUAUAUAUAUAAAAAUCUAUGUCGGGAAAGGGAAUUAGGUUUAGCAUGUAUUUAAAACUUUAACCUAGGUUUGUGUAGCUUUACCAUUAUAAUCUAACCACAGGCUAUAUGGGUCCAGUGUUACCCCCUAACGGGCCCCAGUGUGUGCAGCCGCGUGAACCAGAGAUAUCAUAGGGGUUGGGGAUGCCCGUGUACCCUUCGCCCUCCAUGAUACAUAUAUACAAGUAUAAACUUAGGGGAUUCUCGUGUACCCUACAAAUACAAGGUUGCCAUGACCAACUCUCAUAUCGACAAAUAAUUGUUUCCAGUGUCCAUCCAUCAGACUCACACCUUCAUGGUAAGUCAUCAAACCCACUAUUAUUGCCCAAUUAAAACAAUUAGCACCCAAUAAAACCACUAAUUCCAUCUAUUAUUAACCAAGGCUAUAAGAAGUGGUAUCGUCAUACCGACUAUAACUUACAAGUAAUGUCCUUAGCCAAUCACAUAGAGGAUUUUUAUGUACCCUGUAAGUUUGAUAGACCCAAAUUAUACCUCUCUUAUGAGAGAUAAAAUGCUCAUUGUCAAAUAUAUAAUCCAACUAGGUUGGAGUCGAAUCCCACAGAAAAUAUCAUGUUCACUAAGUAUUGUGGUUGUUACUAGACUGUUGAUCAAAGGUUUCGAAUUAAAGAGGAGUUUUGGUUUAUAAGUUUUAUCUUGUUAUUUGUAACAGAAAAUGUUCCAGUCAGUUAUUCUUAUUGCAAAUAAUAAUUCAAUAAGAGUAGACAACUAGAGUUACGAUUACCAAGAUGUUCAAGCAUCUAAGGUUGUGAAUUAUUAUGAAUUUCCACUUAAUCACUUCAAUUGCAAAAGUUAUUGAAUCCUAUAAUUUACCCAUUUGUCUCUCAACCUAAAUAAAUAGAUUAUCCUUGUCGCACCCCAUUUUUCUUGCGGAAAGAGGGAUUUGACGUGACCACUCUUUUUGGGAUUGUUUUGAGAGAACAAUGUGAAGAGUCGCCACCUAACGAAUUAAGGUGCAUUAGGACAUCGAUCUAGGCCAACUACGAACCUAUUUUUGUUGUUUUGUUUUAGUUCACCAGAAAUUCAGGUAAGGGUUCAAAUUACAUCAAAAAGAAGGUGUUAGGCACCUUUCGAGGUCCACGAAGAUGGUUCCUGGCCGAAUUUGUAUUUUACAUGGGGAUUCUACAUGUUCAAAUAAGAUCGCUUAUUUCAUUAUUAGUUGAUGCUAACUAAGUGAUAAAAUAGUAAAUAAGUAAAACAUGUUAUUUAAUUAUUUCUAAUUAAUAAAUAUCUAUGUGAUUAAAAUCAAUUAAACAUAGGAGAGAAACAAGCAAGAAGAAAGAAAUGACAUGAGAAUAUUAAAUUAAGAAACAUAAACUAUCCUAAAAAAUAUAGUAUUAAUUAAAUUAAUAAAGUAAACUAUUUUCAGUUUGAAUAAAGCUAUUUGAAGAAAAUGUUUGUCGCUUUUAUAUGAAAGAUGUCAUGAUAUUAUUAAUCGCACCCUUUUACCUUGACAACAAUUAUGAUUGGAGGUCGGUCUUAAGUAAAAAUAACAAUAAUACAAUUUUUAAAAGACAAGUGAAAAUUUGAGUACCAAAAUAUAACACAUAAAAAUAUUUAUAUAUGUACAGAUUUACAUAAUCUUCAAAAAAAACUUUGGCAAGUGAUAUUCCUAAGGACGCAUCGGCUUGAUUUUAAAACAUGAGAAUUAGACCUCAUAAUUCUUUUUACUUACCCGCUAACUAUAAGUUAGGAGAUAGUAUUUAUGUAAUUAAUAAUUUUAAAAAGACAUUGUCCAAUUCAAGUUGCAAAAAGAAAGAAAAAAAGAAGUCAACAAUUAAUGUUGUGUUUUAAAAAUGUUUGCACAAACAAAGUAGGAAAAUUUGUUAAUAUGCUGAAAAUGUUAUUUGAAGACUAAAAAUUAACAUAUAAUUGUUGAGAAUGUGAUUUAAAAUGCUAAAAUGUCAUUUGUGAUAUGUCAAAGCUAUGCCAAAAGUAAAUAAAUAUGUUGUAAGCUAAGUUGACAUAUUCAAACGUGAUUUAACAAGGCAAAAUUAAUUAAACUUCUAAAAGUAUGAUUUCUAGGAUAUUAAAAUAAAUCCUAAAUUAGGUUUGCCCAAGUGAUUUGCAUAAUACGUAAAUCACAUAAACCCCGUCCCCCCAAACAGUCCCAUAAAUAUUAUUACAACAUAUCGUUUGUAAAAUAAUCCUCAUGGACCAAUAAUAAAUGAAAUAAAAGAAAAACUAUGAAGAUCUAGAUUGGAUAGCUCUUAACGACUACAUGUCAACUCUGUCUCAUCUAAAUACUCAUUCUUAACCAGUGAUCACAAAGAAAGCACCAAAACACAUUCCGAAUCUAGAAUACCUUUGGCAACACAUAACUAACCUUUGACAUUGUCAAGAUCCUAAGGAUAUCAGGGAUCCCAGGAAGGCUCACGCCAAAGAGGCUCUGUGACAUGCAAAAAAUAUUUUAGAGUCAUGUACAACAAGCAUGCUAAUGGAGAAGAACAGUUAGAAAAAGAAAAUAUGUCUCAACUAAUAUGAAUACCCAAUAAGAGUCACAGAAAUGCAAAAAAAAAAACAAAUAGGAGGUUCAUGUCGUCAAGCAUUUAAAGUAUGCAAAUCCAAGUAAAAAUCAUAACCACAUAGUGUAAAAGAAACUAAUGCAUCAUUGAAGAAAAUUAACCUAUUUACAGCAUAAUAACAAAAGAAGAUUGAAAUUUCAAGAGUAGAUAAGAAGUCGUACGAGCAAACAAGAAUUAGCGAUCUCAAAGUAGAAGCAGCAAACAAAAUAUAGCACUAAGUGUAGUGUAGAAUAUUGUAGAAGUGAGAGUAGGAGUGUAUGAGAAGAGGUCUGACAAUUGAAAGAGAGGAUGUUUAUAUAGCAAAAGAGUAGAGAAAAUAAAAGGAAAGAGAAUAUUUGCAAAUUCAAUCAAAUCAACUAAAAAAAAUAAACUGCUCAUAUUUACCUUAAUAAACAAGUCAAAAUAUUAUUCGAUCUUCAAGAGGCCAUAAAAAUAGGGAUACCAAUGGAUACUUCCCAUGUUAAGAAACAUAAUCACAUCAAAUUAGCACAGAAUAGAUCCAAUUAUAAUAGGGGGUAAACAUCUAUUUGCAUAAAAAAAUCCACAUGCUUAAAAAGCAAAAAUCAUAAUACACCCAAAGAACUACUAUACUACUAUAAUUACGCUAGUAAUCCAAUCAACCGGCUCAAAUUUUCGGAGUCAAAAUUAUGAUAGUAGACAAUGAAAUUGCAUUCCUAAGAUGAAAUCUAGGAUUAACGAAAAAUUCAAAAUUAGUCAUUUUACAUAAAAUAAACUUGAAACCAGAAAAACAGAACAACAAUAUAACCACAAAUUUUAAGUUUAAAGAAAAGAGGAGCAGAAUAGAAUUAUAAUUGCAUGUAAAAAUUAAAUAUGAAAUUCAACCUAGGAUGGGUUCAUAAGAACCCAUCAUUUUUUCGGCGAGAUGUGGUGGCAGUGUCAUGGGAUGCACGGAGACACAACAACGGCGGCUGCAAUGAGAAGGCGGGCUGGUUCAUGGGUAGCCGCUGGUCUGCAUGGCUGUUUUAAGGUCGCCACGGCAGUAAAUGGAGCAUCGGAGCUCCAAUUUGGUGGCUUUUGAUGCGGGUAGUGGCGAUGGUGAGGUCCGACUAUCAUUAACAGUGCUUCAUCAGUCAUCACCUCCGGUGAAGCAGCAAUGAUGGGAGGCAGCGCUGAUCGAAGGUGCGGUGGGAUGGAUGGCUCGCUGGUGAGCUGCCGUUGUUUUAUCCGGCAGUGGAGAUGCGUCGGAUCUGGGCCACUGUGGCACUGGGCCUUCACCGGUGUCGACUGGUGUUGUUGUCCGUUCAACGGCACUUAGCCGUCGGAGAGAAAAAUGGAGCAGAGGGGGUUUGGGCUGUAGGCAGUCGCCGGUGGCUGAUGGAUGGCGGCGGCUGGGGAGUUCUAUAGAGAAGGAGGAGAGAUAGAGAGAGAAAGUGGGGAUGGUGUGCAGUUGAUUUGGUGGAAUGAGUCUAAGGUUAGGGUUUUGAUUUUUUAAGAGAAAAGAAAGAGAUCCUUUGAUCUCAGUCGUUGGAUCAGUUUUGAUCGACGGCUGAUAUUUAAUGGUUGAGGAAUUGGUCAAAAAUUUAAAACAAUUUAAAAUUAAGCCCUAAUUGGCUAUAAUUGUAAUAAAAUGGCUGAAAUUGUAAUGUCUUGGGUAAAAAAUGGACUAAAAGAUAAAUAAAUUAGGUAAAUUGAUUUAAAUUUAGGCUGUUAUUUAAAUAAUAGUAGGGAUAAUAAUAGUAAAUAAUAUAUAAUAACAAUAAUAAAUAAUACUAAUAUUAAUAAUAAUAAAUGUUAUAAAAAAUGAUGUAUUUGAAAAUUGAGAGUAUGCCUAUUUAUGAAAAUAAUUAUCAAAAAUUAUGUCGAGAAAUAUUAUAUUUAAAUUAAUGAAUGAUAUUGUAAGGUGGUAAAAUAAUUUGUAUAUUUUAAAAUCGUGAAUUGACACGUCAAAAUCUGUUUGACGCAAGAAAAUUGUGUAAAAGUAUCAACAUUUAAAAUUGGUAAUUUUUGCUAAAAUAACAACCUAAAAUGAGUAUCAGGAGGUACAAAAAGCAUUGUCAAGCAACAAAAGUUGACGUGGUAGCCAAUUUUGUCCGACCGAGGAAGAUUCUUUGGAGUUAAAACAUUAGGAGGUGAUUUUAAAAAUAAUGUGGCCGAGACUUCGAUUUCAAGUCGCCUACAUAUCUCUGGUUUAAUGAGAAUCAGGCCAUUUGCAGUUCUAGAUUUAGGAAUGAACAAUAUUCCUAAGGAAUGACAGUGAUAAAGGAUGGGCAUUCAACAAAGGUGUUGUAGGUCGGUCAAUGAGAUGGAAUUGAAUGUGAUUUGGAAUAGUGACAUAUGGAGAAGUUUGAAAAUAUUGAGGUAGGUGAGGUGAUGGAUAAAUUGAUUGGGUAAUAUUUCAUAAACAGUAACUAAAAUUGUCUUUGUUUGUUAUUCCUUCUUUGUUACCUUCAUAUUUAUAGCGUACUAAAUAACAAAGGUUAGACAUGUAAGAAAUAAACAUUUGAUAAAUAUAAAGUGAAGGUGGAGACAAGAAAGAUAUCUGUUGUAUCGUGGGAUCAGCGGUUUGGCUUCUCGAUUUACUAUGGAAUCGUGGGAUCAGCUGUUUUUCUUCUCAUCGUGGAGUAAUCUGUACCUGUUAGUCCUAUCACACUUAGCUCAAUUGGAUAAAAUGGUUAGCACAGAUAUAUAUGUAUGUAUAGAAGAUUUGAUCAAUGUAGUGAAAACAGCCAUAACAAUAAUGAUAAGAAGAGAUAAGAAAGCGUACUGUCAUGAGAGAGUAAUGCUUUGUUCAUAUAAAAAUUUGAAGAGGUCGUGCUUAAUCCAAACCAUAUCCAGUAAAGCAAUUGCAUUUAAUAACACAGAGGCCGUUAUGCUUAGCAUGUUCAGUAGUAGAAAACAAUAUUCAUUUUUGAGUAACCCAAUUGACUUUCAGAGGAUAAUGCUUAGCCUCAGGAAGUUUCUCAAAUUUCCAAAACAAUUCUUAGCUUCGGACAAUUUCUCGAGGGAGAGUAAUACUUAACCCAACUAACUUUCAAGGACAAUGCAUAGCCUCAGUCAGUUUCUCGAAAGAGGGUAGUGCUUAACCCACUUAACUUUCCAAGGACAAUGCUUAGACUUAGAGAGUUUUUGAUAGAGUAGUUCUUAACUCCAUUGAAUUUUUGAAACAAUGCUUAGUUCGGAUGAUUUCGCAAGAGAGAGUGGUGCUUAACCCGACUAACUUUCAAGGAUAAUGCUUAGCCUUAGUCAGUUACUCGAAAAAGAGUAGUGCUUAACCCACUUAAAUUUCCAAGGACAGUACUUAGCCUUAGAAAGUUUUUGAUAGAUUAGUGCUUAACUCCAUCGAGUUUCCUAACCAUCUCUUAGUUAGGAUGAUUUCUCAAGAGAGGAUAGUCUUAACCCAACUAAAUUUCAAGGACAAUGCUUAGCCUCAGUCAGUUUCUCAAAAGAGGGUAGUUCUUAACCCACUUAACUUUCCAAGGAAAAUGCUUAAACUUCGAGAGUUUUUGAUAGAGUCGUUCUUAACUCCAUCAAAUUUCUAAAACAAUACUUAGCUUCGGAUGAUUUCUCGAGAGAGGAUAGUGCUUAAUCCAACUAACUUUCAAGGACAAUGCUUAGCCUCAGUCAGUUUCUCGAAAGAGGGUAGUGCUUAACCCACUUAACUUUCCAUGGACAAUGCUUAGCCUUAGAGAGUUUAUGAUAGAGUCGUGCUAAACUUCAUCAAAUUUUCAAAACAAUGCUUAGCUUUGGACAAUUUCUCGAGAGAGGGUAGUGCUUAACCCAACUAAAUUUCAAGGACAAUGCUUAGCCUCAGUCAGUUUCUUCAAAGAGGGUAGUGCUUAACCCACUUAACCUUCCAAGGACAAUGCUUAGCCUUAGGGAGUUCUUGAUAGAAUCGUUCUUAACUCUAUCGAAUUUCUAAAAUAAUUCUUAAUUUGGAUAAACUUAUUGAGAGAGGGUAGUGCUUAACCUAAUUAACUUUUCAAGGACAACGCUUAGCCUCAAGAAGUUUCUCUCAAGAGGGUAGUGCUUAACCCACUCAGAACAUAGGAUGAUAAUAAUUAGCCUUAUAUCUUGUGACGGUGCAUGGAAUGCUUGAGAUUUGUACCCAUCACUCUAUUCCUGCACUCAAAGAAAAAUUUUUAGUUUUAAAAAGGAAAAAGAUUGAUUCGUGUCUCUGUUAAUUCCUUUGCCCAGGUCCUGAAUCCAUUGUCUUUAUGUCGCUUUCUUGAGAUGCAAUACUUGAUAAAAUUUUGAGGAUCCUAAAAAAUUUCUGCCCCAGCUUUAUGGACUCAAUCUUGCUAGCCUUGAAUUUGUUAAAAUGUUUCUUGAUAAAAUUUUUGAGACCCUCUCAAAAACUCUGCCCCAAUUACAUGUUUCGUCUGUCUUAAACUUGUAGAAUCAUAGAAUUUUUGAAAUCCUUUCUGCCCCAGUUACAUGUCUCCUUCUUAACCAACUCUUGCAUAGGUGGGUGAAGACGGCAUUGAUGCUCAAUGGUAGGAGUGCAAUCUUCCUCAAGCUGAAUUUUAUGCAAGCAAAUACCCGGAGAAAUGCCAAUAAUAUCCGUAAUAGUCCAGCCUAUCACCCUUUUGUACCUCUAAAACAGUGAGAUGAGUGCCUCCACUUGUUGUUCCUCCAGAUCUUCUGCAAUAAUCACAGGUAAAGUGUUUCCAUUGCCUAUAAACACAUACCGUAAAUGGCCUGGCAAUUCCUUCAACUCCAACACUGGUGGCUCUUCAAUAGAUGGCUUUGCCGGUGGUGUUGGGCGAUUUUUAAGAUCUAGAUCCAGCUUCUUAGAAGCAUAAGAGUAUGAACCCAUCCUAGUCAAGGAACACACAGUCUCCCCAUACUCUUUAAUGUCUUUGCUAUCGAAAUUGAUCAAGACUAUAGCCAAAGGCUCAACAGCAAAUCUAUCCUCUAUUGUCACUUCUUAAUCAUCCUCAUAAUAAACAUCAACAACAGAUAACACACUCAUUUCCUUGUUCUGUUUCAUAGAUUGACACACAUCAAACCGAAUUACUUCAUUAUUAAGCCUGAAUAAGAGCUCAUUAGCUCACAAGUCAAUAAGUACGCUUCCAGUUGCAAGGAAAGGUUGACCCAAGAUUAUGGGAACCUCUAAGUCCACCUCACAAUCCAGAAUAACAAAAUUUGUAGGGAAUAUAAAGCUGGCUACCUUCACUAGCACAUCAUACAAAAUACCCACUGGCCACUUUAUCGACCUGUCCACCAUCACUAGUCGCAUGUUUGUGGGUAGAAGAUCCACCAAACCUAACUUCUUAUAAACAGCAAGCAGCAUCAGGUUAAUACUCGCUCCCAGAUCACACAAGGCCUUAGAAAAAUCAAGAGACCUGAUAGUACAAGGAAUAGUGAAUGCUCUUGGGUCCACUUUCUUUUGCGCCAAAGACCUUGUUGAAAUAGCGCCACAGUGGUAAAGGUUUUUCACUAGUUCGUAGAUCACUUCUCUCUUCUUCAUCACCAGGUCUUUCUUAAACUUAGCAUACCCAGGCAGUUGCUUUAAUGCCUCUACUAAAGGCACAUUCACUGUCAGUUGCUUCAGCAUCGCCAUGAAUUUGCUAAACCUUGUAUCAUCAGCUUUCUUCUGUAAUCUAUAAAGAAAGGGAGAUGGUGGUUUUGGGAAAGUGGUAACCACUGCUUUCUUCUCCUUUUUUUUUUCUUUCUCUAACUCAUCAACCUACUGGUGGUUAGAUGUGCUCAUAUUACCAUCCAUCUUUUCAGACUCCACUGGAUGGUUUCAUCAACUUCUACCUCUUCAUCGAUCAUAUCAUUGAUCACAGUCUUGCCUACAGAAGAGCCUGGUAAUAUUUCACCACUCUGAGUGGUAACUACCAUGCAAGAGCUAUCGUUUCGAGGGUUCUAUACUGUAUUGCAAGGAGGGUACCGCUUUUUCUCUGAUUAAAUGCUAUCGAGAUUUGGAUCAUCUGCUGCUCCAACUGCUUAAUAUAAGUUGAGUGCAAAUUUACUAGAUGGAUCAUGGAAAGUCACUCUUCAUCGUCGUCACCCCAGCAUUGGUAGCCUAAAAUCCCUUUAAUAGUUUCUCCAACAUUUCCUCCAUAGAUAUCUUGCAUGAACUGUUAGUUGCAUUGUCCUGGUUUCCAAGAGGUACAUAAAGUCCACUCUUGUCAUUUUGGUUCAUCAACUCCCUUGGUCCCUAUCUUUGUAACCAGCCUUGUCAUAAUAGUUCUGACCUUGAUUGCCUUGGAUAUUGCCUCAGAAACCCUCUGAUUAUUUAGAUAGUUUGCCUCCUCCACAAAAUCAAAAUUAGCUCUACCUUGGGACCAAACAACUUUUACCUUCUCAGUCUUCCCGGAUAAUAAGUAUUUAGUAAGCAGAUCCAUCUAUGUUUUCAUGUGUGCCAUAUCUUGGUCACGCUCCUUCUCUUUCCGACGUUGCUCUACCAACAUACCACAAGACAUAGUAGGGUUUGCUACCGUAGAGUCCCUGGUGUGCCAAGCUCUACUUGUCUUAGUCAACCGUUCCAACAUAUCUGCGGCCUCAUUGAAUGUAAGCUCCAUGAAUACUCCUCCUAUUGCAUUGUCAGCUGUUAGUUUGGUUAAAAAGUUUAGGGCUCUAUAGAAAGUCUCCAUUAAAUGCUCGUCAGCCAUCUUGUGGUUGCGGAACUACAUCAACUUUUUCUUGAAUCGCAUCCAAGUCUCAUGUAGUGCCUCAUUUGGUAAUUGUCUGAAGUUACUGAUUUCAUCCCUUAACUGUAACAUCCUGGAGGGAGGAAAGAACCUUUCUAGGAAAGCUCCUUUUAAUAGCCUCCAAUUUUUUAUAGAAUCAGGGGCCAACUCGUUCAACCCAUUAUUGCCUCCCCAGACAGAGACAGCGGGAACAACCGAAGAUGAAUUACAUUUUGAAAUACCGGUGUUAUCAAAGGAUUUGCAAAUAUUGAUAAAAUUCACAAAGUGCAAGUUUGGGUCAUCCCCUGGAAUUCCUAAAAACAACCCCUUAAGAUUAAGUAGUUGUAUCAUGGUGCUAGUUAUGUUGAAUUUAACUCUAAGUGUCAGUGGAGGUGGAAUAAUUGCUCCUAUAGCACCAUCUUUAUCAAGGUCUUCCUUCUUCUCAUCAAGAUCAAAUUGCACAGCAUGUUGGAGGUUUGCUCUUCCUCAAGCUGCCCAGUUUAUAUUGGCAACCACCUCUAUAUUCUCCACACGCCUCCUAUUUGUUGGGUUAAUCAGAUCAUCAUCUCCCAAAUCUUUAUUAUCAGGAUUAGGGUGACAAGCUGGUUAUCCGUCAAUUUGUCGAUUAACCUGUGCUCUAGCUAAGUUGGCUAGUCUCUCAGCUUUUUAUUGUUCUUUUAUUCUACCAAUUAGAUGCGGUUCAGGAUUGAAGAGUAAUAGCGGUUCUCCUGAACUUCUGGUACGUGGCAUAAAUAACAAUGAACCUACAAUGAACCAAAAAAUACAAAUAAAAGUAAAAUUUGUGAAACUUGACCAAUGGUCAAUUAACAAUCAUAAACUUGAUUGACAGCUGUAAUCCCUGGCAACAACGCCAAAAUUUGAUACACCCAAAUUACAGCUCUCUUACAAGAGAGUAAGCGAUCAUUGUCAAAAAUAUAACCCAACCAGGUUGGGGUCGAAUCCCACAAGGAAUACUGUGUUCACUAAGUAUAGUGGUUGUUACUAGACUGUUGACCAAAGGUUCCAAAUUAAAGGGGGUUUUGGUUUGUAAGUUUUAUCUCGUUAUUUGUAACAGAAAGUGUUCCUAUUAGUGAUUCUUAUUGCAAAUAUUAAUUCAAUGAGAGUAGACAACUAGAGUUACGGUUACCAAGAUGUGCAAGCAUCUAGGGUUGUGAAUUAUUAUGAAUUUCCACACAAUCACUUCAAUUGCAAGAGUUAUUAAAUACUAUAAUUUACCCAUUUUUCUCUUAACCUAAAUGAUUAGGUUAUCUUUCAAUUCUCUUGAUCUUAAAGAAUGCAUUAAUUUAUUCAAUUAUUCUCUCAUGUGGGUUGAUCCCGUUAAGGCAUCAAACCUUAACCCAAAGGUUAAAACCCUUAGAUCCCUUGUAAACCUCUUCUUUUCCUAACAAGCUCUUUUCUAUUCGAACAAGUGAUAUUCUUGGGCUCACCCUUCAAGUUUGCAACCAAGAAAGGACAUUAUUGUGAAGAACAGUUUAUACAACUUCAGUUAACCAUGGAAAUCAAGUGUUUUCACAACCCCAAUCAGCUUUUCACAUUAAGUCUCUCAUAACCCUAGUUAUGGGAGCUUAGCCACACAUCUCUAUAGAAGAAGAAGAAGAAGAAGAAGAAGAAGAAGAAGAAGAAGAAAAAGAAGUCAUUAUGUUUCUCAUAAAUAAAUUUAGGAAUUACUUACAAAAAUCACAUGAUUUGUUCUCGAAUCUUCAAAAGAAAAUAGGCAUAAAAUGAUUAGAUCCAUAAUUCUAGCUUGAUUCACAGAGAAUACUAUGUUACAAUUAUGUUCAAAGUUGGAAAUAUGGUCUAGAAUCCCUAAAAUAAAUCUAAACUGAGUAUUUUAUAUUUUCCCAGGUGUAGAGUAUUUAAAAUUUAAACUCAGAAAAAGCCGCGUCCAAGUUGACGGUCAGGACGAUAUCUCAUCGAAAGCUUGACGGUCCGUUGAAUCAACCAUCGCAAUCGGUCCCAAAAUGGCAUCUUCUAUUAAGGGUCAACAAUUAGGUUAGUGGACCGUCACUUGCCCGGUGGUCCAUCACAUGAGCAGUCACUAGAUCAUCUGAAAGUUCACAUUUUAUUUUAGCCUGACGACCAGUUUGGCGGCCCGUCGGGUGUUCGAUGGUCCACCACUUGGACCGUCGCAGAGAUCAUUCUUUUGGUCAUCUCUAUUUUACUCUGACUAUAACCCUGGCAGUCCGUCGCAUGGCUGACGAUCGUCAAUUGGACCGUCAGUGCCCUUUUCCUUCUAUUUUUCCAAGUUUUUCCUCCUGCUAACUCUUUGACCUAACAAUACUAAAAUCCAGUAUUAAAUAUAUUUGGUGCUUGAAAAUAUAUAAUUAUCCCAGGAAAAAGAUGUAAAAUAUUCCGUCAAAAGAUGAAACAUCAAGGUUCCAUUAUUAGAUUCACUUGGGUGAUUCUUGUGUACCCCACAAGGUUUUUAAUCAAAGCCAUAGUUACUAAGGCCUUGCCAUUUAGCCAUUAAAACCAUUUAAAAAUUUUAGGUUCCAUUACCAUAUUAUACCAUGCAAUGUUUUUAAUAAAAGUCCAACUAUGUAUUUAAAGCAUUCUCAUAGGUAUUUUAAUAUACACGUUAAGGUCAUAUAGUUUCCAAAACAAAAACCAAGUACCAAUUGACCAUUCCCAUGAAGCCACAUGUUCAAACCUUAAUUAUAAUAUGAAAACCAUAAGUAAAAACAUUGGAAAACAUAGAUCAACCAUUAAUAACCAAAACCCCCAACAUAUAAUUAAAAACCAAAUAAUACCCAUAAUUAAAUCAUGAAAACCAUUCAUUAAAACAUUAAUUUGGUUGAACUAAUAAUGAGGGAGGAGUAACAUGCCUUAGAUACCAAAGAAGAUGGAGCGAAAUCACCCUUGAAAGCCCCAAUUGAUAUGCUUGAUGAAAACCCUAAGUGUUCUUGACCUUGAGGAUGUGGGAGUAUUUGAGAGUCUAUUUGAUGUGUUUUUGAUAGUUCAUGAUGCCCUAACAAGGUUAGAAGAUGUGGGUUUUAAGUUGGGAAAAAGUGGAAAUAUAAAGAAUACCAUUAACUUAAAAGUUAAAAAAUGCGUAUGGGAGUGUAUGACUCCCCCUAACUCAUACACAAUCAUACGAGUGGUACACACCACACAUACCCUAGACAGAAUGUUGGACUUUAACACUAUCCAAUGUACGACCCCCAAGGACCAACUCAUGCCAAAUCAUACAAUAAGUACCCAUAACCCGAACCCUAAGCAGAAUACUCUAGGCUAGACACAUUGAGCAAUAUACGAGUGGAUUACCUAACUCGUACCAUCUCCAUAUGAGUCUUAUGAUUCCCUUUCAUAAAUUAGAAAAAAUGCACACUAGACCACACUAAUUAUUAUAUAAGUUAAGGACCCUAAACCAUACAACAUCAUACGACAAGUACCCAUAAGUCGUAUGAUGUCCAGAAGCUCAAACUCAAGAAAUUUUUUAGGGAUCAAAACCUAGGGUAUUUUAGAUUAUUGGAUGUUAUAUUUGAAGAAGGUGAACAUGUUGAGUACUAAUGACAAGCUAAUGCACUACAAAUGGCUGGUGGGCCAUAUUACAAAAGCUACGGAAGGAGCAAAAUGGGGAAAAAGGACAGCCAUUUACAAACAUACAUUGAGUUUCACUACUAAGGCUUGGUGGUCCAUUUUUUAUCACCACAUAGUACCCACAAACGAUGAUAAGGCACUGAGUGCUAACAAGAAAGGGAUGGACAAGUGUAAUACCCUAACUUUUCCUUAAGCCUAAUUUCAUCUCUAGAAGGUUAAGAAAUGACUUCCUAAGUGAGUAACAUUUCAACCAUAUAGAGUUUCCCUAAUUUUGACUUUUUAUCAUGUGGGAAAUUUAAUUAGCUUUCCAACGAUAUAAGAUCCGCCCAAAUCCGAUAACCGGGAAAGAAGUUAUGGCUAAUUUAAGUUCUAGUCAUAAGACACCAUCAUUUUAGUGUUUGGCACAUCGUGGAGAGGGUCUAUUUAAUAAUUGUCAAAUUCCAGUGGAACUUUGCAGUAGUGGCACAUUGCGGAGGACCCUAAUUUCCCAACUUUCAAUUUCCAGUGGCCUAGCACGAUUGUGACACGUCGCGCUGAAGUUCCAGGUCCCAACUAGUGGGACAGCGCAAUGGCUUCACAUCGUGGUGAAUCCCAGAUUCCCAUUUGUCAAUUUCCAGUAAUCCACCGUGAUAGUGGUGCGUUGCGGUGGCCCAUAAAGUCAUGUUUCUAGUUCAAUUUUUCCAGCUUCAUACAGAAGUUAAAAAGGACACUUUAGACUUUUUCAAAGCCUCUUAAACCGUACAAAUAUCAGAAUUAAGGUCACUACAAGCGUCAUAUGAGAUUUUUCUUAAGAUUUCUCUCAACCAAAAACCCUAAGCAUCCAAAUCCUUUUCCAAGAAUCUCAAGGGUUCACCAAUGAUUUUCUAAAUUAAGUCAAGAUUCAAAGUUCCCAAGUCAAAGGCCUCAAGAACCCUCAUUCAAGAGUACGAAUAGAGUCCCAAAAUCUAGAGUUCAUCCAAAGCUUCUAAUUCAAUGUAUGUGGGGUUUGAACAAGGACACUCAUUUCGUCUUUGUACCCAAAAGUUGUUUUAAUUACAAGGAUUUAUGGUUUUACAUGUUUUCUUAUGAAAUUGAAGUAUGGGUUUAUACCCUAGGUUAUUAUUUCUUGAUGUUAUGAUGGUUUAAAUGUUUUAGAAAUUGAAGUACAUGAUUAUGUUGAGAUUGCAAUGCAUAUUGUUGAAAAUUUCCAGAUUUCUAUAUGAUUUAUGAAUCUUUACGAUAUCUAGUAUGCAUUUUAAUGCGUCUUAUCUUGAGAUUGAUUAUGGGUCAUUAAGUCCUAGUUGAGAUUUUAAUUUUAUGAACUUUUGUGCUAUAAGCACCCAUGAUUUGAGUAUUUUGAGAUUAUUGAGAAAGUUUUGACCUUGAUGUUCAUAGUAGCUUUGUAAUCCACUUUACUAAAUGAAAUUAUAGAUUUUAUAGUUGGGUUCUUUAUGAACCAUGAGAUUACUUUAAAGUGUAUUUCCAUGAGAUGAGCGUAGCUAACUAAAGGGAGUAGUAUUUAGCACCGAGCUGGGUAAGUUACUACGGUUUCAUACUCCAGAACUACAUGCCACUAUAGGAUUGAGAUUUAUGGGUGCGAGGCCGAGAUAGUGAUUAUUAAGUUGAGGUUAUACUCUCUGGAAAAAGUAUGACGCCUCUCCCCAACGUGAGGUUUUUUACUUAGGAGGAUAAAACGUUGGACUCCAUCUAGCUCGCAUGGUUUAUGUUGGUUAAGAGAACCUCCAUUCUAGUAAAAGUAAAUAAUCAACUUUUGAGUAUUUUUCCCUAAUAGUAAGAUUUUCUGAGUAGUUUUCUUAAAAUAUAUUUUCCUUAAAGAGAGUAUUUUUCCCUACUAGUAAGAGUAAAUGAUCAGUUCCUAAAGUAAAGUAUGUUCCUUUGAGAUGAGUUAUUGUUCCCUAAAUGUAAAGGCUCAUAGACUUAUCCAAAUAUUAUUUUUACUUUAGAUUUCAGUUUUAAAGUUACAAUCUUAGCUUCCAGAUAUAGAUUUCCGGACCAAGUAUAUUGACUCACGAGAUUUAUACUAUGCAUUCCAUUAUUCAUAAUGUAUGAGAUUUAUAUUUUUAAGUUACUCAAGCUAUAUGAGUCAGUUAUAUCAGCAUGCAUAAUUUUUAUAAAGGUUGAUGAUAUUAUUGUUUUAAUUAUUGCAUACACCCCCAUAUACUCAUUACAUCCUCAAAGUACUGAUCCACAUAUACGUUUGUGUGCUACAUUGUCUCAUAAUGUAGGUUCAGGUGCUUAAUCCCAGCAGUGACAGUGAUCUUCAAGCAUCUCAUCUACAUCUUUAUCCUUGGUGAGUCCUCAUGGUUCAAGGACCUAUAUCUGUAGUUUUCCCGCUUUAAUAGUGUUUUGAGUAUUACUUUCAGACCAGUUCAAGUCAGUUGGGGGUCUGUCCCAAUGUCUUUCCAGUUUGAGUAGUAGAGGCUUUGUCAGACUAGACUAUUAGUUUUGUUUUAUACUUUUCAGUAGUUGAUAUUCAGAAUAUGUUUUCCAGUUAUUUCAGUUCAGAUUUAAUGUGAUACAGCACUAUUGCUUGAUUAUCCAUCUUAAAGUAAGUGUUAGAUGUAGUAGUAGACUUAAAGGAUCAAUUUAGGGCUAGUAGUAGCCUUAAGCACCAUGUGACAUCUCGGGAUGAGAUUUUGGGGCUUUAUAACAAGGUAGAAUUGGAGUUAAAAUUUUUGCAGAUCAUUACAAAAGAGGUUUGGGAGAGUCUGUUGCAUUACUACACUGCUAGCUUCUUAAGCUUGGUGUUUUUCUUUGUUCGAAGUCAAAUAUGUCAUCCAUUAUUGUAGUUGAAAGAUUCAUAUAAUCGACCAAGACCACUAACAUUUCCUUAACAAAGGAUACUUUAAAUUUGGUGGCUUGAGUUUAAGGUUAUUUGACUGAUUUGCCUUCAUAGGCAACUGAGAGAGCUGCAACUACUAAAGAAAUCUUAGUUUUCAAAGUUGGUGAUACUUCUUCAUCUACACUACAACCCACAACACCUUUGAGUACAGGUAAGUUGGCACUCGUCGUCUAUACAUUGGUACCUACAACUUUAAAUAAAUGAUGAAGACGAAUUAGGUUAUACUUGAUGUGUGGAUUAAGAAGUUAGAAGUAAGGUGAAUCCCUACGUGGAGCAUAAAAUUAAGGAAGUGAUACGAGGCAUGCAGACCCAUCUUGAUAGUUUUGAGAGACAAAUGAUAGCUAAGCUAGUCCAGGAUUCUAAUUUAAGCACAGUCACCAUUGAGUGAGGUGAAUUAAAGAAUUGAUAAAGGAGAUUUCUGAAAGGAAGCCUUUGAUUAUGCAAUCUAUGUCGCUCCUGACAUUUAUAGAUUUUAGUGUUAAUGUGGUUGUACUAUAUUUUUACACCAAGGCACUGUAGAUGAGGGAGAGGGUGGGAAGAUAGAUAAGGCAGCAAAAUAAAAUAAAGAAUGGUACACAUCCCUAUAAAUGGAGACAAAGAAAAGCCAAAAGGGGAAAGAAGAAGAAAAAAAAUUAGAAGAAGAAGAAGAGAAAAGAGAAGGAGAGUGGAAGGACCUUUGAGGUGCCUAGUUCAAAGAGGAGUAAGGUCUCUCCUGCUUAUAUUAAUACUAUAGUUUUUGAGGUUGUUAUUAAGGGUAGAGAAGGCAAAGAUAUCUCCCCCGUGAUGUCAUCAUUGAGUGCAUUAGCCGUCACCAGUGCUGACUUGACUAUAAGUGCCACAGCCACAGCCGAGGCCAUAAGAGAUGGAGAGAAAAAAGGGGUUAUAUUUAUGACCCCUACUGAUCAUAGAAAACGGGAUUCAAGUGCACCACAAGUAUGUUUCUACCCUAAUUUUACAUUGUUUUCUUAUUUUGUGCAAUGAGAACAUUGGAUGAUUUCUCAGUUGGGGGUGGGGUGUACCACAUUUGAAGGUUCUUAUUGUCAUGUUUCUUUUCCCUAGAAUGCGCUAUCUAGUUAGAAUCGACAUAUUUAGGAAUUGUAUUUUUGUUUUUAUGUUACUUUUUGUGUGUUUUGGGUAAUCUAGAGAAAAAUAGGAUAGAUUUGUGCAGUCAAAAUAAAAGAGUAUGCAAUCUCUAGUUUUAAUGUGUUUAAAAUGAUACCCCUCCAUAAAAUUUUGUAAUGUUUUUGUUUUCUUGUAUACUUAUCCUAAGCUAUGACAAUGUGAAUUUCAUUAUGGCAUUAGAAUUAUGAGCAUGAUAAUUGUAGCCUAACUUGCUUGAACCAUAUAGGCAAUGACUGAGUAUAUAGCCUUAGGCUAGGUGUGCUAUGAGGUUUACCUAGUCAUAGUAUGUGUGAUCUAGAACUUGCCUGGUUAGUAUCGCCCAAGUUAAAGGUAAGUCAAUUAGAAAAGGAUUGUAUCUCAUUCUUGAAUAAGCCUACUAUAAGCCUAAAAAGCCUACCAAAUGAAAAUAAUAUCCCUUGAUCGCAAAAUUGAGCCUAAAUAGAUCUUUUUCUUGAACUAGCCUAUCCACCUUCCAAUUUAUUUACAAUGAACCUUCUUUUGCGCUGGUCCCUUCUUGGAAAUAGUGUAACUCAAUCUAGGAAAAUCGUCUAUGUAGAGAGUAUCUAUCAUUGGAGUAUGUGAAAGAAAUCAGGUAUGUAGAAGAAGUUAGUAAAUGAAAAAAAAAGAUUCAGGUGCAGUCUUAUGUAAAGAUAAUGAAAAGAAAAAAGAAAAAAUGAGAAGAUUGAAGAAGAAAAAGUUUCAAAAGAAAUAACGAAAAUAGAAAUGAACAAGCAAAAAAAAUUAAAGCUAAGGUCCGAAAGAGUUAAAAAGGGGAUAAAAGUAAAGAAAGUAGGAAAGUGGAGCCAAAGGAAGUAUAGUGCUAAGGAGGAAUAGUCACUUGAUCCAUAUAUACUAUACUCAUUCCUAAGCCUAUAUUAAAAGCCAAUAAGUUCGAUUGUAAUCCUAGUAAGUGUGAGUGUUUAGACUUAGUCUUUAAUCCUAGUAAGUGUGAGUGUUUAGACUUAGUCUUUGUCUUGAUAUUCGUUGCAUAUUCUAAUCCUGAGGGACUUCUUUAAUGUGAGGGCAUCGGAGUGCAUCGUAGUUGUUGCUUAUUUGGUUAGUGUAGUUUGUUUGUGUGCAAGGUUAUAUGAUGAUAAUGUAAUGUUAUUGCUUGAUCCCAUUGUGUCAUGGUAAGGGUUUGUGUACAUAUAAAGAGUAUUGGUUUUAAUGAUAUUUAAAAGGUGUUGAACUUGGUUUUUGAUUCAUGCAUUCUUAAGUUGAGUUAUGAAAAAUAUGACUACCUAGUACACUUAGUUUUCUCUUGGUUAAGCAACGUUUAAUUUAGUUUUUGUGUUGUUUUGUUUGCCUAAGUUAAGGGUGUUGAUGUUCCAUGGAAAAUGAUGUGGUUUUAUGGCAUUUCUAGGUAAAACGGGUCAAGAGAAGUAAAGUUCAAAUUGUUGGACUUAAGGACAUUAUAAAAGCCAUCCUAUGACCAUCAGAUCUGACCAUGGUCGUACCAUGGCUGUCGUGGGUUGAACCAGAGAGAUAGUAUUCAGGUGUUAUUGAGAUGAAAGUAUCACACUUUCAUAUUUAGAUUCUAAUAUCGUAAGAGUGAUCGCGGAAAAAAGUUUCAAAAAAUAUGUUUUCAGAUGUUAAGUAUGAGAAGGAUAAAAUGAGAGGAUUCUAAGAUCGUACCAUGAUACUAUGAGUCUGUAUUGAAUAUUGUGGAAGCAGCAUUCUACCAAUGGGAAAUCAAAGGUAGAUGCAAUGAGAGAGUGUCACAAUCGUACCAAGAAAACACAAACUCAUACUGAGUAUUGUGACAUCCAAUAUCUAAAAGAGGAAAAAGUCAAGUGCCAUCUUACGAGCACCAAAGAUGACCGUGGUAUCUAAUCAUGUACCUUUCUUUGUUCAAUGUGUCAUCUCAGAAAAUCCAAUUAUGUUUAAGAUAAGUUUUACGUUUGUCUAUAAAUACUCCUAUUAGGUCUUUUAUUUUAGUUUACAUUAUAUUGAUACUUUGAAAUAUAUUAUUGUUCUUUGAAGUACAAACAUCGAUUUUUAGGGUUUAAUUUAUGGUUUUCAUAUUAUUCUUAUAAGUUUAUAAUUAUGUUUUCUUCUUAGAAUUAUUGUUGUGUGCUUGUAAUUUGAGUAGUUAAACACCACAACUAGGGUCGUGGGAACCAUGGUGGAUUAACAAAGUAGUACUCGUAGUACAAAGUAAUUCUCAAAGGGUUUUUGGGAGUGUAUUGUUGUUCUCUUUGGUUUGAUUCCAUUUAAAAGCUACAGACGUUAGAACUCAUCUUAUCUUUACUCUGGACAAAAGGAUUAGUAAUGGAUAGAAAAAGGAAUUAACAAUGAGACUUGGUGCUGCAACCUCCAUUUAAUUAGACUUGAGUUAGUAAAUAGGAUAGACAAAUAUGGGGUCAAUGAUAGGGGUUAGUAAUGCAAAACCUAUAGGACAUUAAUUUGUGAUUGGGGAUAGUUAUCUUAAAGGGGCAUAAAGUCGUUUAGAUGAACAUAACCUAUCAAUUCUAUAUGUCGAGCACCACGAAAGAUCACUAAGUAUGAAGAACCUAGGGAGUUCUAAGUUAUUAGGGAACACAAUCCUAGUGCCUCUCUUAUAUUGAUUACAAAUCCAACAAAAUCAUCAUUUGCUGUAACGACCCAAUUUUAUGGAACCAAAAUGUCACACAGUUCUCAUGAUCCCAAAGGACCACAAGCUAACCCUCUACUGAUAUUUGUACCUGAGCACUGCAUAAUAUAGAUAAUAAAUGCGGAAACUGGCCAUAAGGUUUAAAACAUCUAAAAUACUCAAAAUUAAAAACUGAAUACUGAUACAUCUGUUCGAAAAGCCUCUAAACUGCCUAAACUGUGGAGUUGAUGGGACAAACGCCCAACUAACUUCGUCUACUGAAAAUAAACUAAGUCUGAUGCGAUAAUAAAAGAAAUAAGGAUUAUCCUCGAAUGAAAAGGACUCACUACUAUAUCUAGUGCUGCUGACAGGGACUGAGAUGCUCGGGGUACUUUGGAUCUCGUGCGUCUAAACCUAUGGUGUCAAAUAAAACACCAUAGCACAAAUGCGUCAGUAGUAAAUAUAUCGAGUAUGAAGAUGAAGUAAGGCUAAAUGCAAGGGCUUAUGCAUGAACAAUUACUUAACUGAAUAACCAUGAGAGUACUGAAUGAGAACACAUACAUGAAUACACAAAUCAUAACUAGUGACAUCGCAACUCAAAAUACGAAAACUCGAAUACUGCUUUUCUAAUAUCUGAACUCACUACUAAUACUGAGAUACUAAACAACUAAAUCUUCUAUCAAAGAACACUGAGUACUGAAAUUGAGAUCAGUCCCAUCUAGUGAGUGAUCUCGAAAACUUAUGAUACUAAAGUUGAUUAACUAAAUCUACUUAUAUCAAUGACUGAAAGUUGAGUUUACUACUCUCGACUGACUGAAUCUGAGAUAAAACCUUUCUAACGGAUGAUCCCUGAAUCUACUAUCAAUGAUAAGAAAAAUAUUAUGUCUGAGAUCAAACCUAUCUAGCGAAAGAUCUCUAAAUCUGAUAAUGAGCUUACUCAACUGAAUCUGAGACUGAGAUCAAGCCUACCUAACGGGUGAUCUUUGGAUCUGAUAAUGAGAUUACUCAACUGAAUUUGAGACUAAUAUCAAGCCUAUCUAAUGAGUGAUCUCUGGAUCUAAUAAUGAGACUACUCAACUGAAUCUAAGACUGAGAUCAAGCCUAUCUAACGGGUGAUCUUUGGAUCUGAUAAUAAGAUUACUCAACUAAAUCUGAGACUGAGAUCAAGCCUAUCUAACUGGUGAUCUCUGGAUCUGAUAAUGAGAUUACUCAACUAAAUCUGAGACUGAGAUCAAGCCUAUCUAAUGGGUGGUCUCGAGAUCUGAUAAUACUGAUACUGAAUAACUUUAUAUGAGAUCAUGCCUAUCUAGUGGGUGGUCCUUGAAUCAAUGGAACUAUUUGAGUUCCUUACUGAUAAAAGGUGACUGUAUCUGACAGUCCUAAUUUCUGAGUUUUAAUCUAAAGACUGAUAAUAAAACUACAACUGUGAGGGUGCUCACCUAACCAACAUACCCCAAAUCUGAAUUGGUAGGGUCUAACCUGUAACCCCAGCUGGAAGGGUGUCAAUACCGUGCCACAGGUAAAGACCUCUCUAUUCAAGCCUCUCUAACGGGUGACCCUCAUAAGAAGUCAAGCCUAAGGUAGUAUAAUAGUCAAGCCUUUUUCUAACGGGUGACUCCUGCAUCUUAAGCUAGCUAUGUAGUUCUGGAGUUCAGGGAUUGCUCCUAACAACUCUGUCUCUCUAACGGGGAGCCUUCAUCCCUACACUCUCUCAGUGCUAGCUCCUACUCCCAACUGAAAGGCUCUGAAUUGAUUCUCAACUAAACUUAAACUGAGCCGAAUCUGAUACUGAUCAUGUUUCUUGAGUAAUCUGACUAAGUUAUGCUGAAUUCACUUGGUUUUGUAUCUGACAAAAUAUUACUGAAUCUCGUUUUCUGAUUAAAUAAUACUGAUCUCGGGAUAUAUUACUCGAUUACCACUAAGGACUGAACUGAACACUUGAUUACU
rnacentral:lncRNA from 1 species